GUCGUACUGACUUAAUGGAUAUUCAAGUUGAUGUGGUCUAUUAUGAGUCUGGCUCAUUGGUUCCUGUUGAUACUAUUUUGAUUAAUCCGACACCAAUAAAUGGAUUGAAGGUGGGUCCUGGUCCCCAGGCCCACCGAGGCCCAUGAUGACUUUGAGUUGGAAUUGUCGUGGGCUGGGCAACCCACGGACAAUUCGUGUU
rnacentral:lncRNA from 1 species